CGGAAGAUGUAACGGGGCUAAACCAUGCACCGAAGCUGCGGCAGCGACACUAUGUGUUGUUGGGUAGGGGAGCGUUCUGUAAGCCGUUGAAGGUGUGCUGUGAGGCAUGCUGGAGGUAUCAGAAGUGCGAAUGCUGACAUAAGUAACGAUAAAGCGGGUGAAAAGCCCGCUCGCCGGAAGACCAAGGGUUCCUGUCCAACGU
rnacentral:rRNA from 1 species